AGUGAACGCUGGCGGUAGGCCUAACACAUGCAAGUCGAACGGCAGCACAGUAAGAGCUUGCUCUUACGGGUGGCGAGUGGCGGACGGGUGAGGAAUACAUCGGAAUCUACUUUUUCGUGGGGGAUAACGUAGGGAAACUUACGCUAAUACCGCAUACGACCUACGGGUGAAAGCAGGGGAUCUUCGGACCUUGCGCGAUUGAAUGAGCCGAUGUCGGAUUAGCUAGUUGGCGGGGUAAAGGCCCACCAAGGCGACGAUCCGUAGCUGGUCUGAGAGGAUGAUCAGGCACCCUGGACAUGAGACACGGUCCAGGCGCCUACGGGAGGCAGCAGGGGGGAAUAUUGGACAAUGGGCGCAAGCCUGAUCCAGCCAUACCGCGUGGGUGAAGAAGGCCUUCGGGUUGUAAAGCCCUUUUGUUGGGAAAGAAAAGCAGCAGGUUAAUACCCCGCUGUUCUGACGGUACCCAAAGAAUAAGCACCGGCUAACUUCGU
rnacentral:rRNA from 1 species